UUGUAGCUGGCGUCGUAUUAAUGCUCCACGUACUCGUGGUGCACAGUUUGAUUCAUUCUCCACCGCGCAUCAUCAAACAACCUCCCCCGGACGAGAUGCUCUUCCAAGUGGCACAGCAGGGCGAAAGCGAUAAACCCUUUCUGAUUGAGUGCGAGGCAGAAGGUGAACCUACGCCAAAGUAUCGAUGGAUAAAAAACGGAAAAAAGUUCGAGUGGCAAACGUACGAUGAUCGGAUGUCGCAGCAGCCUGGCCGCGGUACGCUGGUGAUAACCUCUCCGCGCGACGAAGACCUUGGGCAGUAUCAGUGCUUCGCCGAAAACGAGCAUGGUACGGCAACCUCGAAUUCCGUGUUUGUGCGCAAGGCAGAGCUGAACUCGUUUAAGGACGAACCGGCACAGACGGUUCCGGCCGACGAGGGGAAACCUUUCAAGCUCGUAUGCCAACCGCCAGACGGCUGGCCCAAACCGAACGUUUACUGGAUGAUUCAGAACAUGGACGGUGGGAUCCGGAGUAUCAACAACUCACGCAUGACGCUCGAUCCGGAGGGGAAUCUGUGGUUCUCGAACGUUACGCGCGACGAUGAGUCGAACGACUUCUUCUACGCUUGCGCCGCGUCGUCGAUGUUCAGGAGCGAGUAUAAGAUCGGCAAUCGAGUACUGCUGCAGGUGAUGCAGACGGGCGUCUCAGCUGCGCAGAACCGGCACCCACCGAAGCGCCAGUAUGUGUCGCGCAAGAACGAGGUCGCUCUAAAGGGUAAGCAGGCGGAGCUGUUCUGUAUCUACGGUGGCACGCCUCUGCCGGAAACGGUGUGGACGAAGAAUGGGCGUGCGAUCAUCUGGAACGAUAAGAUACAGCAAGACAACUACGGCAAGUCAAUCAAGAUACGGCGCGUCGCAUCCGAGGACGCCGGCACGUACACCUGCGAGGUAUCGAACGGGGUCGGCAACGCGGACUCGUACUCAAUCAACAUGGGCGUGAACGCGGUGCCGUACUUUAUCAUCGAGCCAGAGAUCGUGAACGCGGCCGAGGGCGAAUCGGCCGAGUUUCGGUGCGCGGCCGUCGGUGACCCAAGCCCCAAUAUCAUGUGGAUCCACAACGGGAAACCGAUCCAGCAGAGCCCGCGCAAUCCGCGCCGCGUGGUCAGUCCCAAUAGGAUCUACUUUAGCAAGCUACAGAAAGAGGACACUGGCAACUAUGGCUGCAACGCGACCAACUCGCUCGGCUACGUGUACAAGGACGUGUACCUGAACGUGCUAGCGCUGGCACCAGAAAUUACCGAUCCGCCCAAGCGUGAAUUCACCGUGGACCAACGCAACGUGACAAUGACGUGCCGGGUGUUUGGGGCACCGAAGCCACAGGUAAAGUGGAUACGCAACGAGCGCGAGCUGACUGGCGGCCGCUAUCAAACGUUACCGACCGGGGACCUCUUCAUCCGGGACGUUAAGUUCGACGAUGCCGGCGAGUACACGUGCCACGCGGUCAACAAACUCGGCUCAAAGACUGCAUCCGGUGAGCUGAUCGUGAAGGAGCACACCGUCAUCAACGAGCCGCCGAAGGACUACGAGGUGGAGGCGGGCACGACCGCAACCUUCCGCUGCAACGCUGUGGCUGACUCGUCGCUCGAGCUGAUGAUCGAGUGGCUCACCAACGGUGAGGUGAUUGAUUUCGAAACGCAGCCGCGCUUCAUCCGCACAUCGGACAACUCGCUCAUGAUUGCGAAAACGAUCGAGCUGGACACCGGUACCUACAGCUGCUUGGCGAAGACGGAACUGGAUGAGGUUAUGGCGAACGCGACGCUCACCGUAAUGGACCGACCGAAUCCCCCGACGAUCGAGUACGUCACCUGCUGGGAAAAGAUGGCGAAGAUCGUAUGGUCCUCGAACGGGGACAAUCGGUCACCAAUCCUUCACUACAUCCUCGAGUACAACACCUCGUGGACGCCGGAUACCUGGGGUGUACUGUGGGAAGACAUACCCGGUACCGAUCUCUCCUGGGUGAUCAAUCUUUCGCCGUGGAACAACUACACGUUCCGCCUGAUUGCCGUCAAUAAGGUCGGCCAAUCGCUUCCGUCGCCACACAGCGAAGUGUGCACGACUCCGACGAACGUUCCGUUCCAGUACCCGGAUGGGGUCGAAGGGGAAGGUACCGAGCCACACAAUCUCGUCAUCAAGUGGAAUCCAUUGGCAGAAGUCGAUCAUAAUGCCCCCGGUUUCCACUACCGAGUCUACUGGCGCCGGAUGAUAGAUAGUGCAACGUGGAGCUCGGUGGACGUACACGACUGGCGCCAGUCCUCGUACACGGUGGAAAGUUUGCCUACCUUCACCCAGUACCACAUCAAGGUUGUUGCGGUGAACGAUCGGGGCGAGUCCAACGUUGGGGGCAUGGAAAAGUUCGUCUUUUCCGGCGAGGACACACCACUCGACGCACCGACCAACUUCACGUUGAUUCAGGUUACCGGACCCUCGACCGCGAUUGUUAGCUGGAAUCCAGUGGCGAACGAGUCGUUGCGUGGUUACUUUAAGGGCUACAAGAUUCAAACCUGGACCGAGGCGGACGGCGAGGAGAACCUGCGCGAGGUGCUCAUCACCGCCGACUCGAAACAAGCCCUCGUUACUGACUUUGUGCCGGACUCUACCAACUAUGCACGCAUUUUGGCAUACAAUGGGCGCUACAAUGGACCGGCCAGCACUACCAUUUCGUUCGACACGCCCGAAGGCGUACCGAGCACGAUCCAGUCGCUCGAAGCAUACCCGCUUGGUUCGUCCGCCUUCCUGCUGCGCUGGAAGCGUCCGCUGCAACCAAACGGUAAGCUCACCGGCUACAAAAUCUACUACGAAGAGAUCAAGGGCACGACUGUUGGGCCGCGGUCCGAGCGUGAACCGCACAUUGCCGAUCCGGCUAGAUUGGAGGCGAAACUUGGUCGCCUCAAGCCCAGCUCGAAGUAUCGCAUUCACGUGGUAGCCACCACGAAGGCAGGCGAAGGACAAGACUUUCACAUCGAACGCGCGACUUUGUCCAGUGUGGGUAUGCCACCGGAUGUGCCGAAUUUCAGCUGGGAAAAUCUGCCCUCCGAUAACGGGCUGGCUAACGUGAAGGUGAUGUGGUUGCCACCACUCGGUGGUAAAACCGGUUCGCACUUCUACGUUAAGUACCGCAUCAAGGACCAGCCGGCGUGGCAGAUGACAGACGCCGAGGUGUACGAAAAUUUCCUCGUCGUGCGGGGUAUCAACCCAAAUCACCUGUACGAGUUCCGCGUCGUUUCAGUCGAUGGGGAAUACGAGACCGAAUCAGUCACGCAAGAAGUCGACACCUACGGCAUCCAGAGUUCGGUACGCGUCGACGACAACAUAGCGACCGCCGGCUGGUUCAUCGGCAUGAUGCUUGCCAUUGCCUUUUUGAUUCUGGUCCUGAUCAUCAUCUGUAUCGUAAAACGUAACCGUGGCGGCAAGUAUGACGUGCAUGAUCGCGAACUGCAAAACGGUCGCAACGACUACACCGAGGAAGAGGGCGGUUUUCCCGAGUACUCGCAACCUGUUUUACGUGAUUACAGUUUGGACAAUAAAAGCCAGGGUCGACAAUCGCUGAACUCGCAAAAAGUAGGACCGGAAAGUGAUACAGAUUCCAUGGCGGAAUACGGUGAAGGUGAUACAGGCGGUCAGUUCACUGAGGAUGGAUCCUUUAUCGGACAGUACGUACCUGGCAAACCCCCGGUCAGUGCCCAGUCGACGCCACAAAACCCUUCGCUGCAAGGUGCGACCACCGCUACUUACGUCUAAAAGUAAUGAAUGAAUCAUCGCAAAUAAACACGCGUAUAAAAGAUAAACGAGAUGCGCCAGCUGAUUUGCGAUAGGGAACCAUCAGCCAACGCCAACCGGCUAUCAACUCCAAAUUACACUGGCACGGAACAGAAAGUUGUUGUGUCCAUCUAUCGGCUAUAUUAGGCCGCAUCGCCGCUUGUUUAGUUCUGUAUCGUUUCAUGGAUGUUUCUACCAUACAUAAACCGAGCUGGAAAAGGGAUGUGAAAAUGUUCUGCGCAUGUGGCAUUCUACUAGCGAACGUACGAAGGAGAGCUUACACUAAGCAGAGCAUUUGAACGUAAAAGGAAAAAUAGUGUUAACAUCGUCACAUAAUGUACUAUAGAGACGUGUACGUGCAUACUGUCAAGCAAAGAUGCAAAGUUUUCGAUGCUUGCUUUGGACUGAUUGCAGAGAGGUGUAUUGUUUGUUUUACGUUAAAUGCUUAUGUCGCGGAGGUUAAAAUAGUUUUUAAUUCUAUUUAUCAGUUGUGCGUAUUCAAUAUCCCUUUCGUUAACUUGCUUUUUCCACGUUACUUUAUGCAGCUAUAUACAUACUUCUGACGGUCUUUCACUGUGUGCACAGCGCCGUUAAAGAAUCUCGAAAGCGUUCAAGCAAUAGUCCUUUAAACGCAUUUUCCAUUUUAGAAAUCAAUAGCAAAAAAAAUCAUGACAAAAUUCAAGUGUACAGGAUACUCAACAUUUUUUAUGCAAGUAAAACAAAACGACGGUGUUCAAAUGAUGUGGAUUUUGAAGUAUUGUACUCCACUGAAACCAGCCAUCCCAAUAGGAGCGAUGAUUGGCAAAGUUUGAAAAUUGGUUCUCUCUCGACUCCAUCUGAGCAGUCCGGCAGUACCAGGAAGCGAGUCGCUCAGAAUUCACCGUGCCGUCCUUCAGGCGUAAUCUAUAACUAAGCUCUACAAAACCAACGUGAACAGAACAAAACAAACGAGAAAUCUAUAAGAACAUUCUGUUCGUUAAACAUGUUGUUGUUAAUAUUAUAUAGAACAUCCUGAUAUCGUAUGUGUUUAUAAAAUAUGAGUAAAAAUCGAUCCAAGUCUGUAAACGAUCAGCCCAUGGUAGCUUUGUGAAUUAAUAGGAAAAGUAUUGAAAACAAAAUAUUAAGUAUGAGUAUAAUUUCUGUUGUUAUAAUUUUGUUCGUAUCGAAUUUUGAACAUUUUUUUCGGUUUGCUUCCGUUUCAUUUAGUUUACCAUAAGUGGCAAAAGUUAGCACAAAUAAUACUUUGCGCAAAACGAUGUUUUUUUGUAAGGUAACCAGGAUGUCAAUUUUGCUGCCAGUUAAUAACCAACCACACAGACUACAAACGAACUAUACGAACGAUUAUUGUUUAUUAUGCAAACGAGUAUAAUAGGAAGAUACAUAGAAUGGUGUUGUGUCAAAAAAUUAUGAUCACAAGCGGAGGGAAAGUAGUACGACUUACUGAAGGCCAACACUCUACAAAGCAUCGCUUUCUUGGUCCAUUGUGAAAGGACUUCAUGAAAACAAUGCUUGUUCUUCUCGAAUAAUUGAAUUAUAAAAUUUUAUACUCUUUUUUUAAAUAUAGUUUGUAAUAAAGCAUAACCAGAAGCAUUUCGUUUUA